rnacentral:sRNA from 1 species
CCAUAGCCCUGAUGGGAACGGCAUCCUUUUGCAAAAAACAGCCUCGGAAUGAGUUGUUGGGUUUUUGCAAAAGAUAUAGUGGACAGCAGGUUCCCGG